rnacentral:rRNA from 1 species
GAUGAACGCUGGCGGCGUGCCUAAUACAUGCAAGUCGAGCGAAUGGAUUGAGAGCUUGCUCUUAUGAAGUUAGCGGCGGACGGGUGAGUAACACGUGGGUAACCUGCCCAUAAGACUGGGAUAACUCCGGGAAACCGGGGCUAAUACCGGAUAACAUUUUGAACCGCAUGGUUCGAAAUUGAAAGGCGGCUUCGGCUGUCACUUAUGGAUGGACCCGCGUCGCAUUAGCUAGUUGGUGAGGUAACGGCUCACCAAGGCAACGAUGCGUAGCCGACCUGAGAGGGUGAUCGGCCGAACUGGGACUGAGACACGGCCCAGACUCCGACGGGAGGCAGCAGUAGGGAAUCUUCCGCAAUGGACGAAAGUCUGACGGAGCAACGCCGCGUGAGUGAUGAAGGCUUUCGGGUCGUAAAACUCUGUUGUUAGGGAAGAACAAGUGCUAGUUGAAUAAGCUGGCACCUUGACGGUACCUAACCAGAAAGCCACGGCUAACUACGUGCCAGCCGCCGCAGUAA